rnacentral:rRNA from 1 species
UACGGAGGGUGCAAACGUUGCUCGGAAUCAUUGGGUACGUAAGCGCACGUAUGGCGGCCUGAUAAGUCGGGAUUGUGAAAGCCCUGGGCUCAACCCAGGAAGUGCACUCGAAACUGUCGAGCUUGAAUAUGGAAGAGGGUCGCGGAAUUCCGGUGUAGAGGUGAAAUUCGUAGAUAUCGGGAGAACACCAGUGGCGAAGGCGGCGACCUGGGCCAAUAUUGACGCUGAAGGUGCGAAAAGCGUGGGGAGCAAACAGGAUUAGAUAA